rnacentral:rRNA from 1 species
AGCGCAGGCGGAAAAAUAAGUCUAAUGUGAAAGCCCUCGGCUUAACCGAGGAACUGCAUCGGAAACUGUUUUUCUUGAGUGCAGAAGAGGAGAGUGGAACUCCAUGUGUAGCGGUGGAAUGCGUAGAUAUAUGGAAGAACACCAGUGGCGAAGGCGGCUCUCUGGUCUGCAACUGACGCUGAGGCUCGAAAGCAUGGGUAGCGAACAGGAUUAGAUACCCUGGUAGUCCAUGCCGUAAACGAUGAGUGCUAAGUGUUGGGAGGUUUCCGCUUCUCAGUGCUGCAGCUAACGCAUUAAGCACUCCGCCUGGGGAGUACGACCGCAAGGUUGAAACUCAAAGGAAUUGACGGGGGCCCGCACAAGCGGUGGAGCAUGUGGUUUAAUUCGAAGCAACGCGAAGAACCUUACCAGGUCUUGACAUCUAGUGCAAUCUGUAGAGAUACGGAGUUCCCUUCGGGGACGCUAAGACAGGUGGUGCAUGGCUGUCGUCAGCUCGUGUCGUGAGGUGUUGGGUUAAGUCCCGCAACGAGCGCAACCCUUGUUAUUAGUUGCCAGCAUUAAGUUGGGCACUCUAAUGAGACUGCCGGUGACAAACCGGAGGAAGGUGGGGAUGACGUCAAGUCAUCAUGCCCCUUAUGACCUGGGCUACACACGUGCUACAAUGGGCAGUACAACGAGAAGCAAGCCUGCGAAGGCAAGCGAAUCUCUGAAAGCUGUUCUCAGUUCGGACUGCAGUCUGCAACUCGACUGCACGAAGCUGGAAUCGCUAGUA